AGCAGCCGCGGUAAUUCCAGCUCCAAUAGCGUAUAUUAAAGUUGUUGCAGUUAAAAAGCUCGUAGUUGAAUUUCGGGAUCAAUUUAUUGGUCGUGCAAUAGUACGUACUGGUAUUAUUGGUUCCUACCUUCUGAUGAACCAUGAUGUCAUUAAUUUGGUGUUAUGGGGAAUCAGGACUGUUACUUUGAAAAAUUAGAGUGUUUAAAGCAGGCUCACGCUUGAAUACAUUAGCAUGGAAUAAUGAAAUAGGACGUUUGAUUCUAUUUUGUUGGUUUCUAGGAUCGACGUAAUGAUUAGUAGGGAUAGUUGGGGCAUUAGUAUUCAAUUGUCAGAGGUGAAAUUCUUGGAUUUAUUGAAGACUAACUACUGCGAAAGCAUUUGCCAAGGAUUGUUUUCAUUAAUCAAGAACGAAAGUUAGGGGAUCGAAGACGAUCAGAUACCGUCGUAGUCUUAACCAUAAACUAUGCCGACUAGGGAUCGGAUGAUGUUUAAUUUUUAAUGUAACUCAUUCGG
rnacentral:rRNA from 1 species